AGGACCAGUGAUGACUGGUGACAUAUUAGUCUGGGGUGAAUAACACUAAAGGUCUAGAACUCCAAGGUCCAA